AGCAGCCGCGGUAAUUCCAGCUCCAAUAGCGUAUAUUAAAGUUGUUGCAGUUAAAAAGCUCGUAGUUGAAUUUCGGGAUCAAUAUGUUGGUCGUGCCAUUGGUACGUACUGGCAUUAUUGGUUUCUACCUUCUGAAGAACCUCGAUGUCAUUAAUUUGGUGUCUUGGGAAAUCAGGACUGUUACUUUGAAAAAAUUAGAGUGUUUAAAGCAAGCUCGCGCUUGAAUACAUUAGCAUGGAAUAAUGAAAUAGGACGUUUGAUUCUAUUUUGUUGGUUUCUAGGAUUGACGUAAUGAUUAAUAGGGAUAGUUGGGGGCAUUAGUAUUCAAUUGUCAGAGGUGAAAUUCUUGGAUUUAUUGAAGACUAACUACUGCGAAAGCAUUUGCCAAGGAUGUUUUCAUUAAUCAAGAACGAAAGUUAGGGGAUCGAAGACGAUCAGAUACCGUCGUAGUCUUAACCAUAAACUAUGCCGACUAGGGAUCGGAUGAUGUUAAUUUUUUAAUGACUCAUUCGGCGCCUUACG
rnacentral:rRNA from 1 species